rnacentral:rRNA from 1 species
AGCGUAGACGGUGUGGCAAGUCUGAUGUGAAAGGCAUGGGCUCAACCUGUGGACUGCAUUGGAAACUGUCAUACUUGAGUGCCGGAGGGGUAAGCGGAAUUCCUAGUGUAGCGGUGAAAUGCGUAGAUAUUAGGAGGAACACCAGUGGCGAAGGCGACUAUCUGGACCAGCACUGACACUGAGGCACGAAAGCGUGGGGAGCAAACA